UGAGCAAUCUGCCCUUCUCAUCGGAAUAAGCGUUGGAAACGACGUCUAAUGCCGAAUACGACCUCCUUUCNCAUGAUCGGAGGUGGAAAGCUCCGGCGGAGAAGGAUGAGCUCGCGGCCUAUCAGCUAGUUGGUGUGGGUAACGCCG
rnacentral:rRNA from 1 species